rnacentral:rRNA from 1 species
CCCUUAGAUGUUCUGGGCCGCACGCGCGCUACACUGAUGCAUUCAACGAGUCUAAAACCUGCUCUGAUAGGGGUGGGUAAUCUUUUGAAUGUGCAUCGUGAUUGGGAUAGAUGAUUGCAAUUUUUCAUCUUCAACGAGGAAUGCCUAGUAAACGCAAGUCAUCAGCUUGCAUUGAUUACGUCCCUGCCCUUUGUACACACCGCCCGUCGCUCCUACCGAUUGAAUGAUCCGAUGAAUAUCAUAGACUGAGAGUAUAAGCAGGUUCGCCUGUCUUUGCUUCUCGGGAAGUGAAGUAAAUCUUAUCAUUUAGAGGAAGGAGAAGUCGGAACA